rnacentral:rRNA from 1 species
GACGUAGGGUGCGAGCGUUGUCCGGAUUUAUUGGGCGUAAAGAGCUCGUAGGCGGCUCGUUGCGUCGGCUGUGAAAACCCGCAGCUCAACUGUGGGCUUGCAGCUGAUACGGGCGGGCUGGAGUUCGGUAGGGGAGACUGGAAUUCCUGGUGUAGCGGUGAAAUGCGCAGAUAUCAGGAGGAACACCGGUGGCGAAGGCGGGUCUCUGGGCCGAUACUGACGCUGAGGAGCGAAAGCGUGGGGAGCGAACAGG